rnacentral:lncRNA from 1 species
CACAGAAGAGUUGAGCAGCUACAAGUUUGCGGAGUCCCGGAGGAAGUGUGCGGCUGGAGGCGAGGCUUUCCAUGUCAGGGUCCUAAAGAGUCUUACUAUAUCGCUCAUGCUGUUCUCCACCUCCCGGGAUCAAACCGCCCACAUCAGCUUCCAGAAUCAAAGGGAAGAUAGAUGUGUGUGUGCUACCCGCCUGGCAAGCCCUAAAGUUGAGAUGUGGAAACGUGGGUGCACUGAAUGUCUGUUCUACUGAGUGUUCUAAGAGUGUUGUCCUUCUGACCUUGGG